GCGGGUAUAGUAUAAUGGCUAUUAUUGCAGCCUUCCAAGCUGAGGAUCGGAGUUCGAAUCUCCGUACCCGCUCCA
rnacentral:tRNA from 1 species